rnacentral:lncRNA from 1 species
CCUGGAUUCAAAUGAUUCUCCCACCUCAGCCUCCUGAGCAGUUGGGAUUACAGGCAUGCACCAUCAUGCCCAGCUAAUUUUUGUAAUUUUAGUAGAGAUGGAGUUUUGCCUUGUUGGGCAGGCUGGUCCCACCCAAACUCCUGGCCUCGAACGAUCCACCUGCCUUGACUUCCCGAAGUGUUGGGAUUACAGGUGUGAGCUCCCAUGCCCAGCCAAGAGAAUAUUUUAUAGUAACCAUUUUAAUUCCUUUAGUUGUUUUCUUUGUGAUCACUCUAGGUCAUGCUGCAGCUGGAAAAUGCCAUAACAACUCCCUCUUGAGUGACAAGAAACAGCAGCUGGCACAGGACUGAUCCUGCUUCUUCAGACCCUCAAUCAGAGUCUACAGUGGGAGCUUAGACUUUACAAAUCUCCUCCCUCUCAACCUAAUUAAACUAAAGAGCUUCUGCAUAGCAAAAGAAACUAUUGGGAGUAAACAGACAACCCACAAAAUGGGAGAAAAUAUUCACAAACUAUGCAUCCAAUGAAGGUCUAAUAUCCAGAAUCUACAAGGAACUUAAACAAUGGAAUGAGUAAAAACCAAAUAACUCCAUUAAAAAAUGGGCAAAAGACAUGAACAGACACUUCUCAAAAGAAGACAUACGAGUGGCCAACAAACAUCUGAGAAAAUGCUCAACAUCCUUAAUCAGAAAAAUGCAAAUCAAAACCACAAUGAGACACCAUCUCACACCAGUCAGAAUGGCUAUUAUUAAAAAGUCAAAAAACAGCAGAUGCUGGUGAAGCUGUGGAGAAAAGGGAACACUUACAAAUUGUUGGUGAGAAUGUACAUUAGCACAGCCACUGUGGAAAGCAGUUGGAGAUUUCUCAAAGAACUAAAAACAGCUAUCAUUCAGCCCAGCAAUCUCAUUACUGGGUAUAUAUCCUAAAGAAAACAAAUCAUUCUACCAAAAAGACACAUGCACUCACAUGUUCAUUGCUGUGCUAUUCACAAUAACAAAAACGUGAAAUCAACCUAGGUGUCCAUUAAGGGUGGACUGGAUAAAAAAAAGGUGGUAUGUAUGCCCCAUGGAAUACUAUGCAGCUAUAAAAAAGAAUGAAAUCAUGUCCUUUGCAGCAACACGGAUGCAGUUGGAGACCAUUAUCCUAAGCAAUUUAAUGCAGGAACAGAAACCAAAUGUCACAUGUUCUCACUUAUAAGUGGGAACUAAACAUUGGGUAUACAUGGAUAUAAAGAUGGUAACAAUAGAAACUGGGGACUACUAGAAGAGGGAAGGAGGGGGCAAGGGUUGAAAAAACUAACUAUCGGGAACACUGCUCAAUACUUAGGUGAGUGAAUCAUUUGUACCCUAAACCUCAGCAUCGUGCAAUGUACCCAUGUAACAAACUUGCACAUAUAUCCCUGAAUUGAAAAUAAAAGUAGGAAAAAGCAAACAAACAAAUCUUCUCCCACUUACCAAGCAGCAAUUUUCUGGCUCCUCCAGAGUGCCCAC